AAGUCGUAACAAGGUAUCCGUAGGUGAACCUGCGGAUGGAUCAUUAAUAUGUUUUAUUUGGAGUUUUGUGAACGUGGUUUUGAUGGGGGGUUGGUGACAAUGUUGCCGACCUCGUGCAUAGUUAAAGUGAAACGGAACUACUUGUAUGAAAAUACACAACUUUUAGCAACGGAUCUCUUGGCUCUC
rnacentral:misc_RNA from 1 species